UGGGGAAUAUUGCACAAUGGGCGCAAGCCUGAUGCAGCCAUGCCGCGUGUGUGAAGAAGGCCUUCGGGUUGUAAAGCACUUUCAGCGAGGAGGAAGGUGGUGAGCUUAAUACGCUCAUCAAUUGACGUUACUCGCAGAAGAAGCACCGGCUAACUCCGUGCCAGCAGCCGCGGUAAUACGGAGGGUGCAAGCGUUAAUCGGAAUUACUGGGCGUAAAGCGCACGCAGGCGGUUUGUUAAGUCAGAUGUGAAAUCCCCGGGCUCAACCUGGGAACUGCAUUUGAAACUGGCAAGCUAGAGUCUCGUAGAGGGGGGUAGAAUUCCAGGUGUAGCGGUGAAAUGCGUAGAGAUCUGGAGGAAUACCGGUGGCGAAGGCGGCCCCCCUGGACGAAGACUGACGCUCAGGUGCGAAUGCGUGGGGAGCAAAACAGGAUUAGAUACCCUGGUAGUCCCACGCUGUAAACGAUGUCGAUUUGGAGGUGUGCCCUUGAGGCGUGGCUUCCGGAGCUAACGCGUUAAAUCGACCGCCUGGGGAGUACGGCCGCAAGGUUAAAACUCAAAUGAAUUGACGGGGUCAUAGCUGUUUCCUG
rnacentral:rRNA from 1 species